AUUGAACGCUGGCGGCAGGCCUAACACAUGCAAGUCGCACGAGUGGCGGACGGGUGCGUAAUGUCUGGGAAACUGCCUGAUGGAGGGGGGUAACUACUGGAAACGGUAGCUAAUACCGCAUACCAUCAGAUGUUCCCAGAUGGGAUUAGCUAGUUGGUGGGGUAUCGGCUCACCAAGGCGACGAUCCCUAGCUGGUCUGACAGGAGGACCAGCCACACGGGAACUGAGAAACGGUCCAGACUCCUACGGGAGGCAGCAGUGGGGAAUAUUGCACAAUGGGCGCAAGCCUGAUGCAGCCAUGCCGCGUGUAUGAAGAAGGCCUUCGGGUUGUAAAGUACUUUCAGCGGGGAGGCGUUACCCGAAGAAGAAGCACCGGCUAACUCCGUGCCAGCAGCCGCGGUAAUUC
rnacentral:rRNA from 1 species